rnacentral:lncRNA from 1 species
AAACUGGGAAGGUCCCUAUAAAAUCGAAAAAGUUGUCCGACCAGGUUCUUACGAAAUAGCCAACAUGCAGGGUAUAAAAAUCCCUAGAACCUGGAAUGCGAUGCAUCUCAAAAAAUACUAUCACUAAACAAACCAACUCGCAAUCACUGAACUACGAGACGGCUUGAUCUCCGCAAGGAGUACGUAGGCAGUUUGUCGAAAGGCAAAUUCAGCUGUCCCCCCUCAUUAAAAAGGGGGGGAGUGGGUACGUAUACUCGUAUACUCCCAAAAAAUUGAAAAAACUUCUUACCACGCUCUAGGUGUUUUCGACUUAUCAAAACAUCCUCACCCGUAAAAUCAGAACGAGGUCUUCGAAAAUUAGUCGGCCGCUUGGGAAAAGCAAUCUUUAGCAUCGCGAGACGUCGCAAUUGGUGCCUCAAAGUUUAUUCCUUCCGAGCAAACGAAACCUCCGUCACAAAAAGACAUAUAUAUGCACACACUAAC